rnacentral:rRNA from 1 species
AGGGAAACGUUACUGAUAAUACUGGAUAAGUUAGUAUAUCGCAUGAUAUGCAAAUGAAAGCUACGGCACUAAAGGAGAGCUUUGCGUCCUAUUAGCUAGUUGGUAAGGUAAGAGCUUACCAAGGCGAUGAUAGGUAGCCGGCCUGAGAGGGUGGACGGCCACAAGGGGACUGAGAUACGGCCCUUACUCCUACGGGAGGCAGCAGCC